AUUCUUUGUCAACUAUUUAUUAUUGGCAAAUUUUUGAUUGUGUUGUUUAAAGAGAGAAAGAAUUUUGGUCAACUAUUCUAUGAUGAGACCAAAGAUAAUUCUAUCAAUCUAAAACUUUCAUUGCCAUGGUUCAAUGAUUAUGUCAAAAAUAUUUUUUAUCCAAGACAAACACCUGACCAUUCUACCUUGGUAUCUUAUAUAAGAAAAAUCUAUAAUCC